rnacentral:rRNA from 1 species
GAUGAACGCUGGCGGCGUGCCUAAUACAUGCAAGUCGAGCGAACAGAUGAGGAGCUUGCUCCUCUGACGUUAGCGGCGGACGGGUGAGUAACACGUGGAUAACCUACCUAUAAGACUGGGAUCACUUCGGGAAACCGGAGCUAAUACCGGAUAAUAUAUUGAACCGCAUGGUUCAAUAGUGAAAGACGGUUUUGCUGUCACUUAUCGAUGGAUCCGCGCCGCAUUAGCUAGUUGGUAAGGUAACGGCUUACCAAGGCAACGAUGCGUAGCCGACCUGAGAGGGUGAUCGGCCACACUGGAACUGAGACACGGUCCAGACUCCUACGGGAGGCAGCAGUAGGGAAUCUUCCGCAAUGGGCGAAAGCCUGACGGAGCAACGCCGCGUGAGUGAUGAAGGUCUUCGGAUCGUAAAACUCUGUUAUUAGGGAAGAACAAAUGUGGAAUUAACUAUGCACGUAUUGACGGUACCUAAUCAAAAAGCAACGGCUAACUACGUG